rnacentral:rRNA from 1 species
CCUACGGGUGGCAGCAGUGAGGAAUAUUGGUCAAUGGCCGGAAGGCUGAACCAGCCAUGCCGCGUGAAGGUCAGUGCCCUAUGGGCGUUUAACUUCUUUUGUGCGGGAGCAAUAAUGGUCACGUGUGGCCAGACGAGAGUACCGUACGAAUAAGCCUCGGCUAACUCCGUGCCAGCAGCCGCGGUAAUACGGGGGAUGCAAGCGUUAUCCGGAUUUAUUGGGUUUAAAGGGUGCGUAGGGCGGGAGGUAAGUCAGCGGGGCAAUGCCCCGGCUCAACGGGGUGAAGUGCCAUUGAUACUGCAGUGCUGGAGUGCGGAUGGUGUGGGAGGAAUGUGUGGUGUAGCGGUGAAAUGCAUAGAGAGCA